rnacentral:rRNA from 1 species
UACGUAGGGUGCGAGCGUUGUCCGGAAUUAUUGGGCGUAAAGAGCUCGUAGGCGGUCUGUCGCGUCUGCUGUGAAAUCCCGAGGCUCAACCUCGGGCUUGCAGUGGGUACGGGCAGGCUAGAGUGCGGUAGGGGAGAAUGGAACUCCUGGUGUAGCGGUGGAAUGCGCAGAUAUCAGGAGGAACACCUGUGGCGAAAGCGGCUCACUGGACCAUAACUGACGCUGAUGCACGAAAGCUAGGGGAGCAAACGGG